rnacentral:piRNA from 1 species
UCCACACGUACACCAUGGCAAGUGCCUCUCC